UCACACACACACAGGAAAUAUCCAUGAAAAGGAAACAUUUGUAGUAUCAUCCUGAGUCACAUAACACAGCAGCUCAAAGUACACGCGUUAAUAAAGGAAGGAACUAUCUCAUUUUCAAUAAGGCUGAAUUUGAUGUGCUCAAGUAACACCCAUUGGUCCAGAAAAAUGAUAAAAUUACUACAAAGAGGAGGAUCCCAGGUCUAAUGAUUGGGUUCUUUUCCAGACAACUGUAACCACCCUCUGGAGACUAUAAAGGAAACUAAGUAUCAAAAUAGCAGGAUGACUAUUUGUAAUUACUGUGUAAUUGCUGGUUUUACCUGUCUGUCUCUUCCUGGGCUCAGUGAAGGCAGAGACCAAGUUCACUAAUUGGAUUCAGCCAAGGAGAGUGGUUGGCUCCAUAAAGUAUGAAUGAACAACUGAACUAAUGAAAAAAAGAACAUGAAAGUUCUGUACAAAAGAAAGAGGAAAGAAAACCAUGAAUCCUGGUAACACCAAGCCUGAUUCUGUCCGAAAACAAAGAGAUCAUCAGGGAUUCUUCAUUUAGUCUGAGCUCUGAGAAUAGAAAAUAAUUCCAAAAUGUCAUAUUAUGAGGGUAAAGGAGGCGUGAGAAUUUGAAUGUAAGAAAAUAGAAGACAGAGCAGAGGGUGGGAAAAAGUGGAGACUGAGAGCUUAUAACCAGGAAGUGUGGGCUGUGGCUUCUUUGAAGGGAAAAAAAAGUGAAAUUCCAGGUUCCCAGUGUCCGAUUUUCUCCCUCGCUCUCCCAUUUUGAGUCUGUGCCAAUAGAGUCUCACAGUCUGAACCUCCCUGGCCAUACCUAAAGCAUUAGCAAAACAUUGAAAAGGCUUUUAGACAGAGGGGAUUCAGACAAAGGGAAUCCAUGCCUCUGGGAACUGAGCAGGGGUUCGUCGCCAAGGAUCUUUGGACUCUGACAGAACCACAGGUAGGCUUAUUCAUUUCACUCAGUCAACAGACAUGCCCUGAGCACCUGCUGCAUGCUCGGCACUGCACUGAGCCAGUCAGAAGCACUAGGAAGUCAGACGUUAAACGCCUGUGAACCCACAUAGGAGAUCUGAAUCUCCUUGAAGGCAUGAGUCUCCUGGUUUUAUGUGUACAACAGGGGCUUCCCUACUGGAAAGGGCACAACCAAUUCACUAAGAUUGACUCGAGCAAACCUCACCGAGGCCUGCUAUGGAUCAGUGAGGAGAAUCCGCUAGGUGAGCCUGCUCUCCUGGGGAAGAGAGCAAAGAUGUCUGGCUCACUGUACCUAAGAGCUGUCAGAGGCCACCUCAUGCUCUUCCCCCUCCUGCCAUCCUCCAGGAAUACCUCCACCUCCCAGCAAGCUCAUGGUGAAUUUGUGUAAUCAAGAAGUCGGGAGUCAGAGAGAGUACUUUUAGCAACAGGCAAGAGGCUGACAUGGGAAUGAAUAAAUGGAAAGGACUCCUAAAGAUCCCAGCUGCUCAAAACCAACGUGCCACCCUGUUGUGCCCCCAGAAGAAGCUUCUGCAAAAAUAACUUCUGCAAAACAAAGCAAACUAACGCGAAAAGUACCCCGGCUGUGUGGCUUCAGGCACACACUCCUAAAUCUUUGACUAAUAAAAGCCUGCAGGAAUAUCCUAAUGAAGCCUGGUGCUACCAAGCCACUUGUCUGUUCUGUUUCCCUAAAGCACAUUAAAAACACAUUUUCCAGUUUAAUAGAAUUACGAGCUGAAAUGAAUGUGUCAGAACGCUUAUAAAUAUGAUAGAACCUGCUAACCAAGCAAAUGUUAAAUGUUGCAUAAGGAGACUGUAUUCCUAACUCCUCAGUAGACACUUAAUGACUAGUUCAAACAAAGCACCCCGGCAGCUGCUCUAAAGGCUCCAGACGAAUUAAGUGGGCUUUUAUUACCGCCAGGACUCAUGUCCUCUUGCUUCCUCUCAUUUUAUCCAUCUUCCUCCUUUGUACAAGACAAACACGGGCCUUCAGACGAACCAAACUCCUGAAGUCUGGUCAUGGUGUGAUCAGAGUAUGGGGUUGGUCAAUAUGCGGCACUGAAUAUUGUCCUCCGCCAAAAGCCAUGUCCAGCCAGAACCUCAGAAGAUGACCUUACCUAGAAAUUGGGUCUUUGCAGAUGUAGUUAAGAAGCAGUCAAACAGGAUCAAGUGAGCCCUAAAUCCAAUGACUGGUGUCUUUAUGAGGCAAAGAAUAGGGAGUUUUGGACACAGACACACACACACACAGAAGAAGGCCAUGUCACAAUGGGGGCAGAGAUUUAAGUGAUACAGCUACAAGCCAGGACAUGCUGGGAGCCAAAAGCAGUUAGAGAAUUUCCCUGGAAUUUUCAGAGAGAGUGUGGCCCUGGUGAUACCUUGAUUUCGCACUUCUGGCCUGCAGAACUGUAAGGGAAUAUAUUUCCGCUGUUUCAAGCCACUCUGUGUAUAGUACAAGAUAAGCAUCCUACUGAAAUUCUCACACAGGGUUGCUGGCAAAAUAUUACAGAAAAUAUUAAAGACAUAUUAGGGAAAGUUAUAGAUUAGUCUCGAGCCUUUUGGAAGGCCAAAAGGUUUUACUGGGGCAGGCGGAAGGCAGCCAGCCAGCUCAUUAGGGAGACAGGGAGAUGAUCCAAGGCCUUAGCCCACACCCAUUUGUCUGCACUCUGACUAUUUACCCAUUAGACUCUGUGCUGGGUGGUCUCUCCAGGGAAGAUCAAAGGGGAAUUACCUGUUAAUAGCAUUUACUCUGGGUCCCAGAACCUAAAGUCCUUAUCAGUGUUAAAACCAUUCUCUUAACCAUGUUAAUGAUCCACAAGUGUGUUACCUCGGAACCUCUGUUAUGAAUAAAGUGUGGACAGAGGGUCUGGGUCUGAGAGCAGCCAGCAGCCAUCCCCUAGCCCACGUGUAUCACCGUAAUGGUGUGAGAGAGUGCAUUCAUUCAUUUACCGUUGAGUUAGGGUCUGCAAGUCAGACGUCUGCGGCGGUGGGACUCACGUCUCAGCAUCCCUCCUCUGAAGGGACCACAGUGUUUCAGAUUUUUCAGAUUUUGGAAUAUCUGCAUUAUUUUACCAGCAUUAUUGACCACACAAGCCUCCCAGAUCUGAAAAUCUGAUUUCUGAAAUGUUCCAAUGAGCAUUUCCUUUGAGUAUCAUGUUGGCGCUCAAAAGGUUUUGGAUUUGGGAGCAUUUCGGGUCUUGGAUUUUCGGAUUUGGGACGCUCAAUCUGUACUUUGUUGUGACAGCAACAGGAAACUUACACAGUCAGGAGAGAACUUCUACACAUUCAGAUGUGUAUUGUAAUUGAUUUCCCCAGAAGUUACCUGGCCAAUCGUUUCAGGUGACAGUGGAAGUGCUCAUCCCUUUAACUUCAUGAUAGCACAGAUGUACACCUGCCAGCAGUCUUAAAACAUCAGACUUAGAGCCAUCUGACUUUCUUUUUUUUCUUUUUUUUUUUUUUUUUCUGAGACAGAGUUUCACUCAUUACCCAGGCU